rnacentral:rRNA from 1 species
CCUACGGGGGGCUGCAGUGGGGAAUAUUGGACAAUGGGCGAAAGCCUGAUCCAGCCAUGCCGCGUGUGUGAAGAAGGCCUUCGGGUUGUAAAGCACUUUCAGUGGGGAAGAAAGCCUUUGGGCUAAUACCCUCGAGGAAGGACAUCACCCACAGAAGAAGCACCGGCUAACUCCGUGCCAGCAGCCGCGGUACUACGGAGGGUGCGAGCGUUAAUCGGAAUUACUGGGCGUAAAGCGCGCGUAGGCGGUCUGAUAAGCCGGUUGUGAAAGCCCCGGGCUCAACCUGGGAACGGCAUCCGGAACUGUCAGGCUAGAGUGCAGGAGAGGAAGGUAGAAUUCCCGGUGUAGCGGUGAAAUGCGUAGAGAUCGGGAGGAAUACCAGUGGCGAAGGCGGCCUUCUGGACUGACACUGACGCUGAGGUGCGAAAGCGUGGGUAGCAAACAGGAUUAGAUACCCGAGUAGUC